CAUAACACACAGCUGUCUGUCUGGGUCGCUACCAUAUUUAAUCAUUUCUGCCCACCGAAUUCAUAUUCGUUAUACACUAUAAAAAAUGACCCACUGGCUUAGUAAAUAUUGCAAAAGAAAAUCAAUGAUUUUUACUAAAAGUAAUAGGUUUCUGGUUUUACUUACAUUGUUGAAUAUAGUCCUUAAUUUAGGUGUUGAAAAAGACUGGCAUUUGCAAACAAAAUCCAAGAUCUAGUUAUGAACGUCAGUUGUGCUUGGAACAUUUCAACAGACGUCGUCUUGAUCUUUCUCCUCUGGAAAGACCAUGUGGCAGGUAUAAAGGUGUUCAGACGUUCCUGAGUACUGGACAGACCAUAUUUUCCAGAAUACAUUGACAAGGUAAACGCCAAGGAGUGUGGAGAUGCAUCGCAGAUCUACCUGUCUGUCUCUCUCUUCUUCACCUGUCUCAAGACCUCCACGCUGGUUUUCCGAUGACAGACAGACAGCUACCUAGCCUAAACCCCCCCUCUGAAUCGGUAUCUCCCUGGAAUGUUCCAGAAUGCCUGAACUUAUCAUGCCUGCUGCUGUUUGUGUCAUCUUUAUCAAUCAAUAUGACUAUGAUUUAAGUUAUGAUAUUGAUCAUUUUGGCUGAUGGACUGAGAGGAAUAAGAUGUUGACUGACUCCAUGUUUGAUGACUUUACAAUCACAGAGAGAUGUUGACU